rnacentral:rRNA from 1 species
CAGAGGGUGCAAACGUUGCUCGGAAUUAUUGGGCGUAAAGCGCGUGUAGGCGGCUUGUUAAGUCGGUUGUGAAAACCCAUGGCUCAACCAUGGAAGGGCGUCCGAAACUGGCAAGCUAGAGUCCCGACGAGGAUGGCGGAAUUCCCAGUGUAGAGGUGAAAUUCGUAGAUAUUGGGAGGAACACCGGUGGCGAAGGCGGCCAUCUGGGAGGGCACUGACGCUGAGACGCGAAAGCGUGGGGAGCAAACAGGAUUAGAUACCCUGGUAGUCCACGCCGUAAACGAUGAGCACUAGAUGUUGCGGGUAUUGACCCCUGCAGUGUCGACGCUGACGCAUUAAGUGCUCCGCCUGGGGAGUACGGCCGCAAGGCUA